UCUUUGAUGGUCUAACGGUCAUGAUUUCCGCUUGUCAAAUCGACAAGGCGCGGGAGAUCGGGGUUCGACUCCCCGUCAGAGAG
rnacentral:tRNA from 1 species